rnacentral:rRNA from 1 species
UACAGAGGGGCAAGCGUUAUUCGGAAUUAUUGGGCGUAAAGGGCGCGUAGGCGGCUUGGCAAGUGGAAGGUGAAAUCCCUCGGCUUAACCGAGGAACUGCCCUCCAAACUGCUUGCUUGAGGCCGGGGAGGCGAGUGGAAUUCCAGUGUAGCGGUGAAAUGCGUAGAUAUUGGGAGGAACACCAGUGGCGGAAGGCGGCUCGCUGGACCGGUUCUGACGCUGAUGCGCGAAAGCGUGGGAGCAAGCGGG